ACUUCUGGGCUAGAAGACUUCCAGACGACUACCAAGAAGUCUUCCAGACGACUUCCAGGAAGUCUUCUGACGGAGUCUUUUCUCAUGUCGCCCUUUCAUAACAUAUCUGAGCGUUUUGAUGCUGCUUUCGCUGCCUUCACACCAGGAGGACGUUUUGUUGCUUCAUCAUCAAGAUCGACAGUUGCUUGGGAGCUGGCUGAUUGUGCUCCAUCCUCACACUUUCUUUUCCUAGCGGUUCCAUCCCUCUUACUUGUUGCAAGCUCACACCACUUUUGGUCAUGCCGCAGUUCCUCCCAAGCGUGGUAAAGGUUAAACUUCUUCUUAUGGUCAUUGUAGAAGAUUUCAUGUGCCAGUUUGACUACAUCAUUUUCACUCUGGCCACUAGUUUUCUGUCAUGUUGCAGCAUUAUAGGAGCCAUAGAACUUGCAAACAAGAUCGUUCAGCUUCUGCCACCUUUGCUUACAGUGAAGGGCUUCUCGCUUUUCACCUUUCACCACCUUUGGACUAGCUGCAUAGUAAGCUGCUAUGCGUUUCCAGAAAGUACUGGCUUUCUGCUCAUUGCUGACGACAGGGUCCUUGUUGGUGUUUAGCCAUGCGCUAAUUAGCACCAGAUCAUCUGUGGGAGUCCAUUUCUUUCUUUCUUUGCGUCAUUUAGCUGAGUCUUCACAGAAGCUUGAGGUUUCAGUACAUUGAGUACUGAACAGAGGGACUUGUGAUGAAAAACUCCCAUAAUUAAAGGGUUCAGGAAGGACGGGAUCUUGUUGACUGUUCAACAGGUCAACAAAAUUUGUUGUCUGACUAUAGGGAUUCGUUGAAUCCAUUUAGUAUUAUGUGAGAGCAGAGAGGAAGAAGAAAAGAUGUGUUUGAGGAAGAAUAGA